ACCGACACAGGUGGUCAGGUAGAGAAUACCAAGGCGCUUGAGAGAACUCGGGUGAAGGAACUAGGCAAAAUGGUGCCGUAACUUCGGGAGAAGGCACGCUGGUGUGUAGGUGAAGUCCCUGCGGAUGGAGCUGAGACCAGUCGAAGAUACCAGCUGGCUGCAACUGUUUAUUAAAAACACAGCACUGUGCAAACACGAAAGUGGACGUAUACGGUGUGACGCCUGCCCGGUGCCGGAAGGUUAAUUGAUGGGGUUAUCCGUAAGGAGAAGCUCUUGAUCGAAGCCCCGGUAAACGGCGGCCGUAACUAUAACGGUCCUAAGGUAGCGAAAUUCCUUGUCGGGUAAGUUCCGACCUGCACGAAUGGCGUAAUGAUGGCCAGGCUGUCUCCACCCGAGACUCAGUGAAAUUGAACUCGCUGUGAAGAUGCAGUGUACCCGCGGCAAGACGGAAAGACCCCGUGAACCUUUACUAUAGCUUGACACUGAACAUUGAGCCUUGAUGUGUAGGAUAGGUGGGAGGCUUUGAAGCGUGGACGCCAGUCUGCGUGGAGCCAACCUUGAAAUACCACCCUUUAAUGUUUGAUGUUCUAACGUUGGCCCCUUACCGGGGUUGCGGACAGUGUCUGGUGGGUAGUUUGACUGGGGCGGUCUCCUCCCAAAGCGUAACGGAGGAGCACGAAGGUUAGCUAAUCCUGGUCGGACAUCAGGAGGUUAGUGCAAUGGCAUAAGCUAGCUUGACUGCGAGCGUGACGGCGCGAGCAGGUGCGAAAGCAGGUCAUAGUGAUCCGGUGGUUCUGAAUGGAAGGGCCAUCGCUCAACGGAUAAAAGGUACUCCGGGGAUAACAGGCUGAUACCGCCCAAGAGUUCAUAUCGACGGCGGUGUUUGGCACCUCGAUGUCGGCUCAUCACAUCCUGGGGCUGAAGUAGGUCCCAAGGGUAUGGCUGUUCGCCAUUUAAAGUGGUACGCGAGCUGGGUUUAGAACGUCGUGAGACAGUUCGGUCCCUAUCUGCCGUGGGCGCUGGAGAAUUGAGGGGGGCUGCUCCUAGUACGAGAGGACCGGAGUGGACGCAUCACUGGUGUUCGGGUUGUCAUGCCAAUGGCACUGCCCGGUAGCUAAAUGCGGAAGAGAUAAGUGCUGAAAGCAUCUAAGCACGAAACUUGCCCCGAGAUGAGUUCUCCCUGAGACUUUAAGUCUCCUGAAGGAACGUUGAAGACGACGACGUUGAUAGGCCGGGUGUGUAAGCGCAGCGAUGCGUUGAGCUAACCGGUACUAAUGAACCGUGAGGCUUAACCUUACAACGCCGAAG
rnacentral:rRNA from 1 species